UGGGGAAUUGUUCGCAAUGGGCGCAAGCCUGACGACGCAACGCCGCGUGGAGGACGAAGAUCUUCGGGUCGUAAACUCCUGUCGAGCGGGAAGAAACCCGCGGAGGUGAAUAGCCUCUGCGGUUGACGGUACCGCUAAACGAAGCCCCGGCUAACUCCGUGCCAGCAGCCGCGGUAAUACGGAGGGUGCGAGCGUUGUCCGGAAUCAUUGGGCGUAAAGCGCACGUAGGCGGUCCGUUAAGUCUCAUAGGUGAAAGGCUGGGGCUCAACCCCAUGCAUGCCGGGGAUACUGGCGGACUGGAGACAGGUAGAGGCGAGCGGAAUUCCGGGUGUAGCGGUGGAAUGCGUAGAGAUCCGGAAGAACACCGGAGGCGAAGGCGGCUCGCUGGACCUGAUCUGACGCUGAGGUGCGAAAGCGUGGGGAGCGAA
rnacentral:rRNA from 1 species